AACGGAUAAAAGAAUAACUAGUUAGAGAAAAAGAUUAGUACUAGAUGGUACAUUUAUGUAUAGAAUCUAUUUGAAUAUUGCGUUGAGAAAGAUCAAUGAGAUGAUAAUGAAUCAUGUUUUGAGACAUGAUAGGAAGGUUUGUGUCAAUGAGAUGUUGUUUUGGUAAUGUUAUGAUAUUGAAUUAUAUUUAAUUAAUGAAUUGAAUUGCUU
rnacentral:lncRNA from 1 species